UGGGGAAUAUUGGACAAUGGGCGGAAGCCUGAUCCAGCCAUGCCGCGUGUGUGAAGAAGGCCUUUUGGUUGUAAAGCACUUUAAGCGAGGAGGAGGCUACUUGGAUUAAUACUCUAGGAUAGUAGACGUUACUCGCAGAAUAAGCACCGGCUAACUCUGUGCCAGCAGCCGCGGUAAUACAGAGGGUGCGAGCGUUAAUCGGAUUUACUGGGCGUAAAGCGUGCGUAGGCGGCUUCUUAAGUCGGAUGUGAAAUCCCUGAGCUUAACUUAGGAAUUGCAUUCGAUACUGGGAAGCUAGAGUAUGGGAGAGGAUGGUAGAAUUCCAGGUGUAGCGGUGAAAUGCGUAGAGAUCUGGAGGAAUACCGAUGGCGAAGGCAGCCAUCUGGCCUAAUACUGACGCUGAGGUACGAAAGCAUGGGGAGCAAACAGG
rnacentral:rRNA from 2 species